GUAACACUCACAGCGAAGAUCUGCAGCUUCACUCCUGAGCCCAGCAAGACCACGAGCCCACCGGCAGGAAUGAACAACUCCAGACACGCUACCCUAAGAGCUGUAACACUCACCGCAAAGGUCUGCAGCUUCACUCUUGAGCCAGCGAGACCACGAACCCACCAGAAGGAAGAAACUCCGAACACAUCUGAACAUCAGAAGGGACAGACUCCAGACGUGCCACCUUAAGAGCUGUAACACUCACCGCGAGGGUCCGCGGCUUCAUUCUUGAAGUCAGUGAGACCAAGAACCCAUCAAUUCCGGACACAAAGACGCUCAACAGCAUCAGAGAAAAAGAGGUAUAAAAUACUGACAUUUGGAUGUUACACUAAUAAGAAGCCCAUAAUACUCACCAACAUAAGUGGUGUUACAUAUAUGUGCACAUGUGCCUGCUGCCAGAAGACUACUGCACCUCUCAUCUCUCCUAUUUUUUGUAGACGCUCAACAGCAUCAGAGAAAAAGAGCUGUAAAAUACUGACAUUUGGAUGUUACACUAAUAAGAAGCCCUUUCGUGCAGAUGAAAGGACAUGUUAUGCACAGACACCCUCUGAGAGGUUCUCAAGUAAGAGACAGGUAACAACCACAGAUAUGUGAGGAAAACCUCCAAAAUGAAAGCAAGAGCUUAUAAAAUCAAACAGAAAUAAAAAAGAACCUGGAAGAAACAAAGCAAUGCACAGAGAAGGCCAAAGUUAUAAUUUAUAUCCUUAGAAGGCAAAACAAAGUUAUAAUUUAUAUCCUUACAGCAAAAAGAGAAAAUAUAGCAGCCAUAUAGAAAGCAAAAUAGAAUGCUAUAACUCAUCAACAACAGAGAACACAAAGUCGCUCUUUGAAUUAAAAAAGUAGAAUAGCAGAAAUAAAAAAAUUCAGUAGGAAGGUUGGAAGAUAAAGCCCAGGAUAUCUGCUAUAAAAACAAAUAAACAGAUGAAAAUAUUUUUUAAAACCGAAAUAUAAGAAUGAUUAGAAUUAGAUUAGGAUCUGUCAGGAAAUUUAACUUCAAAGAAACAGCAUUUCCAGAAAAAGAGAAUAGAAAGAGGGAGAAGAGAAAAAUCAUCAAAGAAACAAUAGAAGAAAAUUACACAGAAUUUUUUAGACACGGAUUUCCAUAUUGAAAGGCCUCUUAAGAACCUAGCACAAUCAGUGAAAAAAUACACAUCCCGAAGCUCAUUACUGUGAAAAUUUCAAGCACCAGGGAUAAACAGAUCAUAAAAGUUUUCAGAGAGGGAAAUACAAAAGGCAUGACAAUCAGAAAGUAGGACUAGAGGCUAGGGAAGCAUAAGACACAGGACUUUAACAUUAUUUGACUUCUAAAACAAUGAACAGAAAUUUUUAUAAACACUAAGCAAUAAUAACUGCACAAAAGUACAAAAUAAAUAAACGAAUAAAAAAUAAUUUUUUUUUUUGAGAUGGAGUUUCGCUCUUGUCACCCAGGCUGGGGUGCAGAGGUGUGAUUUCGGCUCACUGCAACCUCUGUCUCCCAGGUUCAAGUGAUUCUCCUACCUCAGCCUUGCCAGUAGCUGGGAUUACAAGCGCCCAACACCACACCCGGCUGAUUUUUGUAUUUUUAGUAGAGACGAGGUUUCGCCAUGUUGGCCAGGCUUGUCUCGAACUCCUGACCUCAGGUGAUCUGCUUGCCUCGACCUCCCAAAGUGCUGGGAUUACAGGCGUGAGCCACCACGCUCAGCCAAAAAAUAAAUUUAUUUAAUGUUCUUUAGUAGUACCAUUGUUUUAAAUAUACUGUGUUAACUCAUUUAACUCUCAUAACACCCCAGGAGACUAUUAGCCUCAUUUCACAGGUGAGGAAACAGGCAUUGACAGGUCAAGUAAUUUCUCCAUAAUGACACAAGUAGCAAGUCGUGGAGCCAAAGUUCUAGCUUUCUGAACGUGGUCUUUUUAAAAACUGCAAGAUAACAUCUCUCAACUGUAAAAGUAAAAUUAAUUUUAAGAAAGAAAAGAAAAUACUACUUGAAUUCCCUACCUUGCUGAUCUGUUCCUAGACCAACUAUGGUUAAUUAAAAGUUCUGCCAUCAUGAAAAACGCUAUGCUCCUUGCCAAGCCACAAAAGUGGAUGUGUAUUUGUGAAGGGGGAGGGGGUGGAGAUUUGAGGGUAUUUCCUAGUAUUUUGAAUAUUCAUGUGUAAAAGGACUUUAUGUUAUGUGCUUGUGAUCUGCUGCUAGAUAGUCCAUAAAGCAGAUUCCGUAACCUAAUUGCAUUGACAACCUCCACCAAAGGAAAUGAUGCACUUACAUCAGAUCACCACUGCGUAUUAAGAACAAAGCCUAUAAAAAUUGC
rnacentral:lncRNA from 10 species